rnacentral:rRNA from 1 species
CAUUUACGGAGAGUUUGAUCCUGGCUCAGGACGAACGCUGGCGGCGUGCUUAACACAUGCAAGUCGAACGGUGAUGAGGAGCUUGCUUCUUUGAUCAGUGGCGAACGGGUGAGUAACACGUGAGCAAUCUGCCCUUGACUCUGGGAUAACUGCGGGAAACUGUAGCUAAUACCGGAUACGACCUUGGAAGGCAUCUUCUUUGGUGGAAAGAAUUUUGGUCAAGGAUGAGCUCGCGGCCUAUCAGCUAGUUGGUGAGGUAAUGGCUCACCAAGGCGACGACGGGUAGCCGGCCUGAGAGGGUGACCGGCCACACUGGGACUGAGACACGGCCCAGACUCCUACGGGAGGCAGCAGUGGGGAAUAUUGCACAAUGGGCGCAAGCCUGAUGCAGCAACGCCGCGUGAGGGACGAAGGCCUUCGGGUUGUAAACCUCUUUUAGUAG